UGAAUUAUAACCGUAUCGCUAGACAUUCUAGAAACUGCUUCACCAGUUGUCAUUUCUGUGUCGAAGAAUGCAAUAUCCUGUCUCAGAACAGAUUUCAGGUACAAAGAACGGAUACGGGCUGAUUGCCUUUCUCCUGCCAUAGUCCAGCAUGCCACCUCUGGAAGAAAAUGAAGGAAAACAUGCAUUCCAAGAAUUGAAUGGAAGUUCCACUUACGAAGAAAGGCAGCAACUGUUGUCCCAAUGCCCAAAUAUAUGAAGUUGAGAACAACCUGGAGAUAAAAAGAAUAUUCUCUGUUAACUCAACUAGCCAUUCUUCAAGUUAAGUGAUCACCAUAAGCCGUGGCGCACCUUGGUGACAGCACGGAGGACGGUGCUGGUCGUGCUCUCGCCGAAGGAGUUGAUGACGUCUCCAAAGAGGACCGAGAUGAGGGGCUCCGACACGCCGUUGCCCACCGCCCCGAGCGAACCGACCACCAUGAGCAGCAUGUCGAGGCGGUCGGCGUACCUGAACAUGCCGAGCAACGGCACCUUCUUCUCCGGCCGGUCAUCUUUUGCGCCGUGGGCGUGGCGUGCUCCUUCUCCACUACUAGCUUCUGCUGUCGCGUCCAUUUCCUGGCUGCUACUUGCUUUGUUGAUGAGCCCAACGACGAGCCCGGCCGCACUGCGCUGUGUGUAGUUCCUGUCCCCGGGGGUGGUGGAGGCACUAUAUAUAUGCAUCUUGCGGGCCGCCCGGAGUGCCUUUGACUGUUGGGCUGAUUGGGUGCUCCGGAGCUGGAAGCGACCGGGAAAGUUUGCCAUGGAAAAUUACACGGACUAUUGUUACGGCAUGUGAUUAAUUAUGGGAAAGUUCACAACUCUUGCUGCUGUAGGUGCGACAAUUCAAGAUUCAUAUCGUACUUUUGUGCUUUGUCAGCGUAGUCAGUCGGAUGGAUUGCGUUAAUCUUGUGGCCUGAGGUGCGCUAAGCUAGUUGGGCUCUUUGGUGUUCACAGAUAAUUACUCUUG